GUGUGUAGUGUCAGUGCUGUAAGAUAAGAACAGCCACGCUAGGUCAGACCAAAGGUCCAUUGAGCCCAGUAUCCGGUCUUCCGACAGUGGCCAAUGCCAGGUGUUUCAGAGGGAAAGGACAGAACAGGGAAUCAUCAAGUGAUCCACC